GAUGAACGCUGGCGGCGUGCCUAAUACAUGCAAGUCGAGCGAACGGACGAGAAGCUUGCUUUUCUGAUGUUAGCGGCGGACGGGUGAGUAACACGUGGAUAACCUACCUAUAAGACUGGGAUAACUUCGGGAAACCGGAGCUAAUACCGGAUAAUAUUUUGAACCGCAUGGUUCAAAAGUGAAAGACGGUCUUGCUGUCACUUAUAGAUGGAUCCGCGCUGCAUUAGCUAGUUGGUAAGGUAACGGCUUACCAAGGCAACGAUGCAUAGCCGACCUGAGAGGGUGAUCGGCCACACUGGAACUGAGACAAGGUACAGAAUCCUACGGGAGGCAGCAGUAGGGAAUAUUCCGCAAUGGGCGAAAGCCUGACGGAGCAACGCAGCGUGAGUGAUGAAGGUCUUCGGAUCGUAAAACUCUGUUAUUAGGGAAGACCAUAUGUGUAAGUAACUGUGCACAUCUUGACGGUACCUAAUCAGAAAGCCACGGCUAACUACGUG
rnacentral:rRNA from 1 species